AUAUACAUACAUGCACGUACAUACAGCUAGUAAGCUCAGUACUCCCAUUUAAGUCUUGUGAUUAUUCUUUCUACUAGGUCAUAUUACCUGAUGGGCAAUAUCUGUAAAUGGCUACUCUUCAUGGUUUGGAGCUGGAAAGGGCCAUGGAGUCCAACCCACUCAUCUUACAGAUGAAGAGACUGAGGUCCAUGGAAGAAAAAUUCUACUAUUAA
rnacentral:lncRNA from 1 species